UCUAGAAUCCACUAGACUUCCGGAAUCCACCAGAAGGAGUAAUUUGGAGUCCACCAAAUUUGAGAGAAUUCUCUAUAAUUUUAUUGAAUGAAAAAGUUGCCUUCAAGGCUACAAUAGUUUACCUUAAAUAGUAGUGAAAAAUAAAAAUAACAAAUCUUCUAAAAGAUUGUAAAAAUAAAAAUAACAAACCUAGCUAAAUAAAAAUAACAAAUCUACCUAAAAUAUAAAAAUAACUAAUCUAGGUGAAAUAUAAAAAUAAGAAAUCUACCUGAAAUAUAAUAAAACUAAAU
rnacentral:lncRNA from 1 species